CAACAAAAUGUUGGAAUUUUUCCGAAAGAUUUUUGGCGAUCACGCUUUAUUUCUGCUAGUGUUUCAUCAGGAGGCAAUGAACUAGUUCCAUCGAAGCACCGAUUCAACCGAACUUUAGAAACGAAGGACAUCAGAAGAUGGAAAAAACGCAAACGCCGCUCCAGCGAAAGACACCGGCAGUUAACUCUGGAUUCGAGCGGGUACCUAGCAUAAAAUAAAUGGUCGGUACGCAUAGUUUUAUAGCGCAAGCGCCACAGAAACUGCCACCAUUCGGGCUCGCGAAUUAGUCACGGAUUGUGUUUAUCAUGAUUUGCCCCACAAGAUCAAACUGCCAACCCAAACUGUUAACAUCAAUCCCAAAGAUCCGAUCGCAUGUCUUCCAAAGGAAGGUGUCACCAAAGCUGGGAUUCCAGCGUCCGGCGUUUUUAUUCACACGCAAUCCUAGAGGUAUAAUUUGCAUCAUAUGGUCAGAGCCAGCCGGGGGAAUGCUGUUAUUGUGGCAUUGCAUUGGUUUACCAUGAGUCACACCUCACGAUCAGUGCCGGUCUGCCAAAGCUAGCCGCAAGUGAAAUGGAUUUGUAUAAUCGCCACUUGUAUCGAAGCUCCUGGAAAUCAAAACCCGAAUCGUGCGUGCAUAGCGGAAGAUUACACAGGUACCUAGCAGCAAACAAAUGACCCGAUCGUUUGUCUUCCAACCGUGCCGCCUAAGCUGGGUUUCCAGCAUCCAGCGGUGCUGGUUAUUUAUUACAUAAAAAUAUUGCGUUCAGGAUUUGCAUCAUAUGGCUGGUGCCAGU